UACGUAGGGUGCGAGCGUUGUCCGGAAUUAUUGGGCGUAAAGAGCUCGUAGGCGGUUUGUCACGUCUGCUGUGAAAUCCCGAGGCUCAACCUCGGGCCUGCAGUGGGUACGGGCAGACUGGAGUGCGGUAGGGGAGAAUGGAAUUCCUGGUGUAGCGGUGAAAUGCGCAGAUAUCAGGAGGAACACCGAUGGCGAAGGCAGUCUCUGGGCCGAAUGCUGCUGAGGAGCGAAAGCGUGGGGAGCGAACAGG
rnacentral:rRNA from 1 species